rnacentral:piRNA from 1 species
UAGAAACUGGAUAGUCCCUUCUAAAAUGUGC